GAUGAAGAACGUAGCGAAAUGCGAUAAGUAAUGUGAAUUGCAGAAUUCAGUGAAUCAUCGAAUCUUUGAACGCACAUUGCGCCCGCCAGCAUUCUGGCGGGCAUGCCUGUUCGAGCGUCAUUUCAACCCUCGACAUCCCCUUGGGGAAGUCGGCGUUGGGGACCGGCAGCACACCGCCGGCCCCGAAAAUGAGUGGCGGCCCGUCCGCGGCGACCUCUGCGUAGUAAUCCAACCUCGCACCGGAACCCCGACGUGGCCACGCCGUAAAACACCCAACUUUCUGAACGUUGACCUCGGAUCAGGUAGGAAUACCCGCUGAACUUAAGCAUAUCAAUAAGCGGAGGA
rnacentral:misc_RNA from 1 species